GACGAACGCUGGCGGCGUGCCUAAUACAUGCAAGUUGAGCGAUGAAGAUUGGUGCUUGCACCAAUUUGAAGAGCAGCGAACGGGUGGGUAACGCGUGGGGAAUCUGCCUUUGAGCGGGGGACAACAUUUGGAAACGAAUGCUAAUACCGCAUAACAACUUUAAACAUAAGUUUUAAGUUUGAAAGAUGCAAUUGCAUCACUCAAAGAUGAUCCCGUGUUGUAUUAGCUAGUUGGUGAGGUAAAGGCUCACCAAGGCGAUGAUACAUAGCCGACCUGAGAGGGUAAUCGGCCACAUUGGGACUGAGACACGGCCCAAACUCCUACGGGAGGCAGCAGUAGGGAAUCUUCGGCAAGGGACGAAAGUCUGACCGGGCAAAGCGGGGUGAGUGAAGAAGGUUUUCGGAUCGUAAAACUCUGUUGGUAGAGAAGAACGUUGGUGAGAGUGGAAAGCUCAUCAAGGGACGGUAACAACCCAGAAAGGGACGGCUAACUACGU
rnacentral:rRNA from 1 species